rnacentral:sRNA from 1 species
GUCAACGAUUGUAUAAGAGUUUUCGGCCGACCGCGCCAGUGCAUUCCACUUGCCGAAUGCAUCGCAAUACAGAGAUGAGGCUGAC